GGCCUCCUCUAGUGUGCUCUGAAGCUCAGCUCAGUCUGGCCACCCUUCUCUGGGCCUGAACAGCUGUUAUGACCUCUGCUUCCCUGUUUUGACUCCGAGAAAGAAGAUAUCUGCCAAGGACGACUUCUUGUGGCUGACUGGGCCCAAAUGUCAAACUGGAGUCUGGCAGCUAUUGUGGCAGAGGCCUCUAACAGCACACUGCCUGCCAGCGAAAAGCCACAGGCUGAGCGGUCAGCCUGUGCACUCUGCUCCUGCAUCAGGCAACCCUGACUUGAUGUUUAAGAUCACGUUGAAUGAGGUAUCUAUUACAUAUUCUAAAACCCCUCACGUUUUGUGUCCAGAUGAGAAAUUUUUGCAUGCAACAGUAUCCCAACUCCAUCAAGGUCUGGAACAUUCCCACUACCCCGGAAAGUUGCCUAGUGCCUCUGCAGUCAGUCCCAC